rnacentral:rRNA from 1 species
CAAUAGCGUAUAUUAAAGUUGUUGCAGUUAAAAAGCUCGUAGUUGAAUUUUUGCUUGCCGCCGAUGUCGGAACUUCCGUACGUUCGGCGGCGUGCAUCCCUGGGUGGAACCUGUGUGGCAUUAGGUUGUCGUGCAGGGGAUGCUCAUCGUUUACUGUGAAAAAAUUAGAGUGUUCAAAGCAGGCUUACGCCGUUGAAUAUAUUAGCAUGGAAUAAUAAGAUAGGACCUUGGUACUAUUUUGUUGGUUUGCGCACCGAGGUAAUGAUUAACAGGGACAGUUGGGGGUAUUCGUAUUCCAUUGUCAGAGGUGAAAUUCUUGGAUUUCUGGAAGACGAACUACUGCGAAAGCAUUUACCAAGGAUGUUUUCAUUAA